rnacentral:misc_RNA from 1 species
CGAGUCAAGACAUAUGUUCCUAUCUUGAAAGCCAGAGCCCAGAUCUCGAGUCACCCUGCAACAACAGACUAAUUAGUGUACAGUCGUCAUUCAUUGCAAUCUUAAGCCAAGAAGUCUACAAAGUUUGAUGCUGUAUGCAGAUUAAGUCCUAAAGAUAAACAUCUGAUGAUGGAUUCCACAGAGAAUGAGCGGAUGUCAGUGCUUCUGUCAAAAUACCUAGAAUUGAGAUGCACAGGGACACAGGAAGAGGUAGAUAUCAAAAGAAAGACAUAUGUUACAAUGGGGUAUUUUGGAAGUGAUGAAGUAAUAUCUACCUUUCACGGUGGAAGUACUGCAGAGGGACUUACUCUAUUGGGUUCAGAUGUAGACAUAAUGAUCAUUUUGAAGGAUGUUAUAGUUAUGUACCCUGAUCAGUGUUUUCCUCCAAAUAUGGCACACAAAACAAUUCUGUACGCAAGAGCAGCAGAUUGCCGCCCUGGCUAUGUCUUCUUACAGCUUCCUCAGUUACAAAAGAGAGUCCACUAUUUGUUAACUGAUGCACUAGUUAGAAUUGAGGAUUCAAUGUUUGUUUCCAGUGAUAUCUUCAGAGAGCACUUAGUCAGUAGCACUGGUAAACAAACAGGCCUGAAAAUUGAAUCGAAUGGACCAGCCUGUAUAGAAGAUACAUUGACCGGUGGAGAAGACGUUGUUGUGUGUUUUCCAUGUCAUAGUUGGCCAAAGGAAGCUAAUGAAUGGAUUACACGUGCACGUCUGUAUGGAUGGCCACGUCAAACCUUGAUAGACAAUAUCGUACACCAUGGAUGUCAUCUUGUCCCAGUUGGAGACAAGUGUUCGAAUUCUGAGAACACUUUUCUCCAAUGGAGAAUUUCAUUUGCAACAGCAGAGAGAUCUUUAGUUCACUCCUUUAGUCACAUCCAAUUCAAAGUGUAUACUUUGCUGAAAUAUUUUUUGAAGCAAAUAAAAGGAAUAUUAAAAGAGACCAUUGGGGAUGACGAUAUCUUGUGCUCCUAUUUUUUGAAGAUAGUCCUUUUUCAUGCCAUUGAGAAUUCCAACCAACUAUUCUGGCAAGAGAAAAACCUAUUUUAUUGUUUUUGGUUUUGCUUCAAAAUACUAAUUGCUUUCGUCAGGGCAGGUUUCUGUCCCAAUUACUUCAUCCCAGCCAACAAUUUAUUCAAGAGGAAAGUCCAUGGACAACAUCAGCAAAUUCUGUUAGAUGUUUUGAGCAACCACCAUCAGAUGAAAUGGAAGUGUCUUUCGGUAGGAAACUUCUUCAAACCUUCAAUAUGGGAAGAUCUGUGUAAUCCUUCAAUACAAGCUCAACUUGUGUGUCCCAGGACUACACAGGUCACUGCAUACAUACACGAUAGACAACGUAUGGACCAUCUGCGACAAAUAAUUGUCUCGUAUCAAGCUUCAUGGAGUGAACUAAGUGUCUUCAGGAAGGCAAUUAAUUCAUUAUCGACAUCACAGUCAGAAACAGAUGAACUUUUCUCAUUCACUUACGCUAUACAACACCUUCACGAUCUUGCAACAGAGCAGGUUUAUCCGGAGCACAUGGUUGCUACAGACAACAAGACCAGGUACAGAAGUCUAAGGAAAUGUAAACACUGGAUGAUUCGCAAAGCCUCCAUUGGAACUGAACUGCUACAUUUGGCAACUUUUCAUUUUUUGACUGGAAAUUUCUUUAAAACUCUGGAAAUGUGCAAACAAGUGAUGAAACUAGCAUCAUGUUACUUCACAAAAAGAGGUUCACAUCCAGAACAAAAGCUUAAGGCAAUGUAUAGCCAUGUGUAUCAUCAAUUUGAACAUUCCUCAGACAGGCUGAAGAAAGUGUACUCAGAAAUAUUGUCAUUUUCAAAGAAAGGCUUGUAUCUUCCUCAUCUCUGUCAGGAAAUAUUAAGAACACAGAUAAGAAUGUUUAUCCCACCACUACCCUAUGCAUUGUUCCUGUCCUUCCUGUGCUGUCAUGAACUUGGAGAUACUACAGGACGUGAUGAAGCAUUAAGGCUCCUCAUAGAGGUCCAGAGUGAUAAUGUACAAGGAGGACACCGAUCCUGGAUAGUCCACACUCUCCUGGGGAUAUGUUACCAGACACUUGGGGACAAUCACAGGGCCAUCAAGGCUUACUGGGAUUCAGCAAAAUCACAGGCUGAUUAUCAAAUAUGGAAUCCUGCGAUUGAGAGGAUAGCAGUGGUGUAUCUUUGUAUGUAUGUCUCACAGAAGUCUGAUAGAGGAUAGCUGUGGUGUAGCUAUGUAUGCAUGUCUCACAGAAGUCUGAUAGAGGAUAACUGUGGUGUAUCUAUGUAUGUAUGUCUCACAGAGGUCUGACAGAGGAUAGCUGUGGUGUACCUAUGUAUGUAUGUCUCACAGAAGUCUGAUAGAGGAUAGCUGUAGUGUAUCUAUGUAUGCAUGUCUCACAGAAGUCUGAUAGAGGAUAACUGUGGUGUAUCUAUGUAUGUAUGUCUCACAGAGGUCUGAUAGGGGACAGUUACCCCGACCUUGAACUAAGAAAAAUGUUAAACCCCUAUUCCAUAUACCUAUAUAUCCAAGAGUAUCACCAUGUCAAAUUAUAAAAAGAUUAGUCUUUGGUUCCGAAGUAACAAUUAAUCAUUACCCAUUUGGUCUAUUUUCAGUAACAGUGACCUUGACCUUUACCUAAGAAAGUAUUUAAACCCCUAUUACACAUGUACAUAUCAAAGUGCUUUAUCUUGCCAAAAUUCAAAAAGAUUGGUCAUUUGCAUUCUGGAAACUAAAGUGUGGAUGGACAGACAGAUAGACACAGUGAUUUCUAUAGGGCAUCCAGAUCGGACGCAGGCCAGGCGUUAAUAAUAUUUUCAUUCAAGUAUUUAAUUUGAUAUAUGAUACAGGUUUUCAGCUGCUGAUGAAUCCCUGCUUUAUAAUCUAUGUAUCAGAUUACACUGCUGCAGAAUUUCAGUGGCCACAGAAUCCUUGCUGUAAAAUACAGUGGAAUUUUAGCAGUUAGGAUGGGUAAUGAGAUACCUGAUCACAGAAACCGAUUUUUAAAUUCAAAAUUUGGAAUGUGGUCAACAAAAUAGCAGUUAGUUUGAAUGAAUGAGAAGACAUAAAGGCCUGCCGGAGCACAGUAAAACUUGUUUGUGUCAAACGUGCUUCAAUUGAAUACAGCAGAUGAUCUCCCCACCCUCUUUAUAUUUGUAAAUUUAGCAUUGGUGUCUUGAACAUGUACAGUCAAUUAAUGGUUGUGUUGAGUCUAUAUACAUGUUUUCCAGUCCCUAUCUUUGUUGGAAAUAACACUCAUUUAUAAAAACAACAUAUAUUCAUACAAGAGUGCAUCUCUGGCUGGUUAUCAUGAUAUUGUUAUGCUUACUGAUAUUCUCCCAUACUCGGCAAUUUUACCAUAUACAUGUAUAUAUACUCAAAUGCAUUAUUACUGUGAAUUCAUACCGCAAUAACAUUUGCUUUGGAUCCUGUACAGUGUUCAGUUGAAGACCUUAUCAUAACACAAGGACUGUGUGGUCUUCAAUCUGAUAUUGUAUUAUUAUCACUUAGAUAUUAUGUGCGGUUUAUAACCAAUAAUAUAUAUAUUACCUAUAUUGCAGACUGUAUCAAAAUUAGUACUAUGUUAUGGGAGUUACGUAUACCCCCCUUUCCCCACCCAUUCCAUACUGUGUAAAAUAAGUCAAUAUAUAAAUAUCUAAUUGUAUCUAAGUAUAUAAUUGGCGGUGAAACUUUAGACAAUGUCUAGAAGAAAUGUAUAAUCUGAAUUACUAAGCAAAUUAUUUUGUGAUCAUAUUAUUACAUAUAUCUAAGUACAUAAUUGGCGGUGAAACUUUAGAUAAUGGCUUGAAGAAAUGUAUAAUCUGAAUUACUAAGCAAAUUAUUUUGUGAUCAUAUUAUUACAUAUAAUUAUCUAUAUAUUUUAUAUACCUGCAACUUUUCUUUAUACCAAAAAAUGCAGAUUUAAUCACGAUGGAUAGACAAAUAUAUUAUUACAAAAAUCAAAUGAACUUUGAUUAAAUCUACAUGUACAAGAAAUUAAACCAUCAGUCACCAUAAGUACAUAAUUGUAUUGUAUCCAUUACUAAAUUAGUUAUGUAUAUGUAAUAUACACCAGUUGCACGAGGUCAAGAAAUGUACACUUAGGUUUCUAUUCUCUAUCUUCUUUAUGUUUGCAUUGUCUAAAAGGUUCUACGCCAAAUAUGAUACCUGCUUCUCAUGAUUAAUUAUUGAGAGUAAGCAAAAUUGUAAUUAUUUACAAUUAUAAUAUCAAUACAAUAUGUCUAUAUAUAUACCACCAAGGGUGAGGACUGAUAUAGGCUUUAAGCCUGUUGUCUAAUCCUUUUAACAUUGUAAUAUUCUUUAUGCAAAUAAAAUUUGUUGAAAUUGAAA